UUCCGGUUGAUCCUGCCGGACCUGACUGCUAUCGGAUUGAUACUAAGCCAUGCGAGUCUUUGUAGUAAUACAAGGCAUACGGCUCAGUAACACGUAGUCAACCUACCCUAUGGACGAGAAUAAUCUCGGGAAACUGAGCAUAAUUCUUGAUAGAUCAUAAUGCCUGGAAUGGUUUAUGGUUAAAAUGAUUCGUCGCCAUAGGAUGGGACUGCGGCCUAUCAGCUUGUUGGUGAGGUAAUGGCCCACCAAGGCGAUUACAGGUACGGGCUCUGAGAGGAGAAGCCCGGAGAUGGGUACUGAGACACGGACCCAGGCCCUAUGGGGCGCAGCAGGCGAGAAAACUUUGCAAUGUGCGAAAGCACGACAAGGUUAAUCCGAGUGAUUUCUGCUAAAGAAAUCUUUUGCCAGUCGUAAAACCGCUGGUGAAUAAGGGGUGGGCAAGUUCUGGUGUCAGCCGCCGCGGUAAAACCAGCACCUCAAGUGGUCAGGAUGAUUAUUGGGCCUAAAGCAUCCGUAGCCGGCUUUGUAAGUUUUCGGUUAAAUCCAUGUGCUCAACGCAUGGGCUGCCGAAAAUACUGCAUAGCUAGGGAGUGGAAGAGGUAGACGGUACUCAGUAGGUAGGGGUAAAAUCCUUUGAUCUAUUGAUGACCACCUGUGGCGAAGGCGGUCUACCAGAACACGUUCGACGGUGAGGGAUGAAAGCUGGGGGAGCAAACCGGAUUAGAUACCCGGGUAGUCCCAGCUGUAAACGAUGCAGACUCGAUGAUGCAUUGGCAUAAUAGCCAUUGCAGUGUCGCAGGGAAGCCGUUAAGUCUGCCGCCUGGGAAGUACGUACGCAAGUAUGAAACUUAAAGGAAUUGGCGGGGGAGCACCACAAGGGGUGAAGCCUGCGGUUCAAUUGGAGUCAACGCCGG
rnacentral:rRNA from 1 species